rnacentral:rRNA from 1 species
GCCCUAAUACAUGCAAGUCGAACGAACUCUGGUAUUGAUUGGUGCUUGCAUCAUGAUCUUACAUUUGAGUGAGUGGCGAACUGGUGAGUAACACGUGGGAAACCUGCCCAGAAGCGGGGGAUAACACCUGGAAACAGAUGCUAAUACCGCAUAACAACUUGGACCGCAUGGUCCGAGCUUGAAAGAUGGCUUCGGCUAUCACUUUUGGAUGGUCCCGCGGCGUAUUAGCUAGAUGGUGGGGUAACGGCUCACCAUGGCAAUGAUACGUAGCCGACCUGAGAGGGUAAUCGGCCACAUUGGGACUGAGACACGGCCCAAACUCCUACGGGAGGCAGCAGUAGGGAAUCUUCCACAAUGGACGAAAGUCUGAUGGAGCAACGCCGCGUGAGUGAAGAAGGGUUUCGGCUCGUAAAACUCUGUUGUUAAAGAAGAACAUAUCUGAGAGUAACUGUUCAGGUAUUGACGGUAUUUAACCAGAAAGCCACGGCUAACUACGUGCCAGCAGCCGCGGUAAUACGUAGGUGGCAAGCGUUGUCCGGAUUUAUUGGGCGUAAAGCGAGCGCAGGCGGUUUUUUAAGUCUGAUGUGAAAGCCUUCGGCUCAACCGAAGAAGUGCAUCGGAAACUGGGAAACUUGAGUGCAGAAGAGGACAGUGGAACUCCAUGUGUAGCGGUGAAAUGCGUAGAUAUAUGGAAGAACACCAGUGGCGAAGGCGGCUGUCUGGUCUGUAACUGACGCUGAGGCUCGAAAGUAUGGGUAGCAAACAGGAUUAGAUACCCUGGUAGUCCAUACCGUAAACGAUGAAUGCUAAGUGUUGGAGGGUUUCCGCCCUUCAGUGCUGCAGCUAACGCAUUAAGCAUUCCGCCUGGGGAGUACGGCCGCAAGGCUGAAACUCAAAGGAAUUGACGGGGGCCCGCACAAGCGGUGGAGCAUGUGGUUUAAUUCGAAGCUACGCGAAGAACCUUACCAGGUCUUGACAUACUAUGCAAAUCUAAGAGAUUAGACGUUCCCUUCGGGGACAUGGAUACAGGUGGUGCAUGGUUGUCGUCAGCUCGUGUCGUGAGAUGUUGGGUUAAGUCCCGCAACGAGCGCAACCCUUAUUAUCAGUUGCCAGCAUUAAGUUGGGCACUCUGGUGAGACUGCCGGUGACAAACCGGAGGAAGGUGGGGAUGACGUCAAAUCAUCAUGCCCCUUAUGACCUGGGCUACACACGUGCUACAAUGGAUGGUACAACGAGUUGCGAACUCGCGAGAGUAAGCUAAUCUCUUAAAGCCAUUCUCAGUUCGGAUUGUAGGCUGCAACUCGCCUACAUGAAGUCGGAAUCGCUAGUAAUCGCGGAUCAGCAUGCCGCGGUGAAUACGUUCCCGGGCCUUGUACACACCGCCCGUCACACCAUGAGAGUUUGUAACACCCAAAGUCGGUGGGGUAACCUUUUAGGAACCAGCCGCCUAAA